rnacentral:lncRNA from 1 species
UUAUUUGGAUUUAAUUGAAAUUGAUUUUGGGAAAAAGGGGUGAAAAUUUGGAUUCUGGGGGUAUUUUUGAAAAGAAAAUUGGAAACCGGGGUCAAAACAUAAUUUAGAAAAGUUGUGCCACGUCAGCACCACGUCAGCAGCCACGUCAGCAGCCCCGGCCAAUCAGGAUGCGCCGCGUGGCAAGGACACGCUGGCCAGGGGACGGGCCACAGGGGAGAUCCGCGUGCGCGCGAUCGGACGGCCCAGAUCCGUUCUCGCGCGCACGGACGGCCCAGAUUCAAUCAGGCACGGACGGCCCAGAUUGCAUCGCGAUGAACGGCCCAGAUUUAAUCCCAAUUAAAUCGCGAUCGAACGGUCCAUAUUCAAUCUUGAUGGACGAUCAAGAUUAAAAGGCGAAGGGUAUAAAUACCCCCACCCACACCUGA